rnacentral:rRNA from 1 species
GAGCGGCGGACGGGUGAGUAAUGCCUAGGAAAUUGCCUUGAUGUGGGGGAUAACCAUUGGAAACGAUGGCUAAUACCGCAUAACGCCUACGGGCCAAAGAGGGGGACCUUCGGGCCUCUCGCGUCAAGAUAUGCCUAGGUGGGAUUAGCUAGUUGGUGAGGUAAUGGCUCACCAAGGCGACGAUCCCUAGCUGGUCUGAGAGGAUGAUCAGCCACACUGGAACUGAGACACGGUCCAGACUCCUACGGGAGGCAGCAGUGGGGAAUAUUGCACAAUGGGCGCAAGCCUGAUGCAGCCAUGCCGCGUGUAUGAAGAAGGCCUUCGGGUUGUAAAGUACUUUCAGCAGUGAGGAAGGGGGUGUCGUUAAUAGCGGCAUCUCUUGACGUUAGCUGCAGAAGAAGCACCGGCUAACUCCGUGCCAGCAGCCGCGGUAAUACGGAGGGUGCGAGCGUUAAUCGGAAUUACUGGGCGUAAAGCGCAUGCAGGUGGUUUGUUAAGUCAGAUGUGAAAGCCCGGGGCUCAACCUCGGAACUGCAUUUGAAACUGGCAAACUAGAGUACUGUAGAGGGGGGUAGAAUUUCAGGUGUAGCGGUGAAAUGCGUAGAGAUCUGAAGGAAUACCAGUGGCGAAGGCGGCCCCCUGGACAGAUACUGACACUCAGAUGCGAAAGCGUGGGGAGCAAACAGGAUUAGAUACCCUGGUAGUCCACGCCGUAAACGAUGUCUACUUGGAGGUUGUGGCCUUGAGCCGUGGCUUUCGGAGCUAACGCGUUAAGUAGACCGCCUGGGGAGUACGGUCGCAAGAUUAAAACUCAAAUGAAUUGACGGGGGCCCGCACAAGCGGUGGAGCAUGUGGUUUAAUUCGAUGCAACGCGAAGAACCUUACCUACUCUUGACAUCCAGAGAACUUACCAGAGAUGGAUUGGUGCCUUCGGGAACUCUGAGACAGGUGCUGCAUGGCUGUCGUCAGCUCGUGUUGUGAAAUGUUGGGUUAAGUCCCGCAACGAGCGCAACCCUUAUCCUUGUUUGCCAGCGAGUAAUGUCGGGAACUCCAGGGAGACUGCCGGUGAUAAACCGGAGGAAGGUGGGGACGACGUCAAG